UACGGGGGGGGGCAAGCGUUGUUCGGAAUUACUGGGCGUAAAGGGUGCGUAGGCGGCUUUCUAAGUCGGAUGUGAAAACUCUGGGCUCAACCCAGAGCCUGCAUCCGAAACUGGAGAGCUAGGGUUCUGGAGGGGGAAAGCGGAAUUCCUGGUGUAGAGGUGAAAAUUCGUAGAUAUCAGGAGGAACACCAGUGGCGAAGGCGGCUUUCUGGACGGUAACUGACGCUGAGACGCGAAAGCGUGGGGAGCAAACAGG
rnacentral:rRNA from 1 species